GACGAACGCUGGCGGCGUGCUUAACACAUGCAAGUCGAACGGUAAGGCCCUUCGGGGUACACGAGUGGCGAACGGGUGAGUAACACGUGGGUGAUCUGCCCUGCACUUCGGGAUAAGCCUGGGAAACUGGGUCUAAUACCGGAUAGGACUUCUGCCUGCAUGGGUGGGGGUGGAAAGCUUUUGCGAUGUGGGAUGGGCCCGCGGCCUAUCAGCUUGUUGGUGGGGUGAUGGCCUACCAAGGCGACGACGGGUAGCCGGCCUGAGAGGGUGACCGGCCACACUGGGACUGAGAUACGGCCCAGACUCCUACGGGAGGCAGCAGUGGGGAAUAUUGCACAAUGGGCGCAAGCCUGAUGCAGCGACGCCGCGUGAGGGAUGACGGCCUUCGGGUUGUAAACCUCUUUCAGCACAGACGAAGCGCAAGUGACGGUAUGUGCAGAAGAAGGACCGGCCAACUACGUGCCAGCAGCCGCCGUAA
rnacentral:rRNA from 1 species